AGAGGCUGAAGCUCACCUUGGUCUCUCUUCCUGCAUUCAGACCUGAGCACACCUGAGUGAGCAACUAAGGCCAGCCUUUGUCUGUCUGCCCUUGAUUUGGUUUUCCAUGUUUGGUGAGGGACAUCCUCUUGCGAGUGAUUGCUUAGGCUAAUCAGCCAAGAAAGAAGAUUCCAGCCACCUGCCUGGCAGCAACUAGUGUGGGGGGAACUAUAACCCAGUUUUUCAAGACAUUACCAGAGGAGCCAAUCACUGUUUUUCCCAAACUGGUUUUAGUUUGUUGUGCCUUAGUUUUAGAUUGGGCCUUUUUUAGUACAUUUUCUGCUGGACUUAUUGCUGUGUUGGGGGAGAAGGCCUAAGAGCAGCCAUUUUGCAUGUGUGUGUUUUAUUGAGUGUUGUGAACCAUUGUGAUCUGUUGUGGGCAAAUUCCACAACUCUUAUUUGGCUUCAAUUAUUUGUAGUGGAAAUCUCUCAUUAUUUGCAUUUCUUUGCUAGUUCUUUUGGUGUGUACAAUCGUGCUUUAAGCUUUAAACCUCUCCCUCCCACUGCAGACUGGUCCAAUGGUGAAUGUUUAUCCGACUAUGUGUUAUAUACAAUACCAGACUUAAAGGGCAAGUCAACUCAUCUACCUCUUGUAUAAAAUAAUGUUGUAAAUACCUAGUCUUACAGAAUCUUAUUAAAAUCUGUUGUAUUUUCCUUAA